CCUACGGGUGGCAGCAGUGGGGAAUUUUGCACAAUGCGCGUAAGCCUGAUGCAGCGACGCCGCGUGAAUGACGAAGGCCUUCGGGUCGUAAAGUUCUUUCAACAGGGAAGAAAAUGCAUAUAAGUAACUGUGUAUGUAUUGACGGUACCUGUAUAAGCAGCGCCGGCUAACUCCGUGCCAGCAGCCGCGGUAAUACGGAGGGGGCGAGCGUUGUUCGGAGUGACUGGGCGUAAAGAGCACGUAGGCGGUGUGGUAAGUCAUAAGUCAAAUCCUAGAGCUCAACUUGGGAACUGCUGUUGAUACUAGCAGACUAGAGUAUCGGAGAGGAGAGCAGAAUUCCUGGUGUAGCGGUGAAAUGCGUAGAGAUCAGGAGGAAUACCGGUGGCGAAGGCGGCAAUCUGGACGGAAACUGACGCUGAGGUGCGAAAGCGUGGGGAGCAAACAGGAUUAGAUACCCCAGUAGUC
rnacentral:rRNA from 1 species